AUGAUAAGUGAGGAGCCCAGAACUGUCCCAGUCCUGCUCAGAAGCUGGAAAUCAGUGCUGGGAUGUGUCUGUCUGAUACAGAGCUGUCCAGCUCACUGGAAAUCAGUGCUGGGAUGUGUCUGUCUGAUACAGAGCUCAGCUCACUGGAAAUCAGUGCUGGGAUGUGUCUGUCUGAUCCAGAGCUCAGCUCUGCACCCAUGGAAGCGUGCAGGUGCCAGUGCUGCCCUGGGGGCUGCAGAGGGGCUCUGGCAUUUAUUUGGCUGUGCCAGGGCAGGGCUGCUGAGCCUGCUGUGCUCCAGGAGCCUGGAGCACACAGCCCUGCUGAUGCACAGUGGGAAUGAAGUCUUUCCUGGCAGCAAACCCUUGUCUUUUCCUGAGAAGCACUGUUGUAAGAACAACACCCACUGCUUUGUCUUACAGUAGAUUUUAUUCAUAUGAGUGGUGCAUCUUUCAACUCUUUAUUUUUGCCUCUCUGUUGUCACUGUAGCCAGCCCUUCAUCAGUGAAGUACAACACUUGAAUUUUGAAAUUCCGUAGAACAUAUCUGUUAUUUCAAUGUGCUAACCAAACUUCACGCUUUUGGCUGUUCUCUGAGGGUUUUAAGAGCUUUUUUGGAGAUGUUAUUUUGGGGUUUGUUUUGGAUUUUUUUUUAAUCAGCCACCAGGUUUGGAAGCGUAAUAACUUCUUUUUGUGCUAGCUGCAGUUUGUUUUUCCUUCCUGGAUGUUUUUCUGAAGGGACCAACACAUAGCACAAUUCAACCUAAAUUUCUAAUCCCAUGCAUUCCUCAAGGCAGAAACCUUUUGUGCCUAAUGAUGCAUCUGAGUCUAAGAACUGUAUGUGGAAAAGAUCUUUCAUAGACCAAUUUAAAAAAAAAAAUAAGUCUUAGAUUAACCACAUAAUAAUCACGGAAAAAAAAACAUGUAUAGAUUUGAGACAUGCACAUUUAAUUCCCUCAACUUACAUUAAGUUGAACUAUUUCAGGUGUGUCAUAAGAGAUAAACUCAGUGGAUAUUCAGAAGAAAAGCUUUCCAGCUGUUCUAUCCAGGUUCAGUGAGUGGACAGGACUAUAAUUUUGAAUAUAUGCAGUCUUUUAGGGCUACUGAUUUAACAAGUAACUGAGUAAUGGCUUGUAUCACAACCCUAUUAAAAUUCUGCUAGUAAAUCCCCUUGAAGUGCCUCUUUAAAUAUUAUCUGCUACAAGCAUGUGAAAAAUACAGAUUUACCCUACAAAUUGCCAAAUCUCAGGAGCAGCCACUGGGCUCAGCCCCUUCCUUGCUCUGAACUGUGCUCCCUCUUAGGACAGCCACAUCUCCAGGAGACCUGCCUUUGGCUCUGCGAGUUUGCUGUCCAGCUCAGGCAUCCUAAAUUCUCAAUCCUGAAAAUGGAAUAGAAAAAAUAAGACUUCAAAAGAAACUGCAUUGAAACUAAUCUUUGGACCCAUCCUCGGUCUCAGUAGAAUAAGCAGGGAAAUCUGCAUAGAAAUAGUACGCAGUGAUAAUUUUACAUAAAAGAGUUGUUACACUAUUGCAUAAUAUUAAUUAAUAAUAAUAAUUUUUUUAAGAGCCCACAAUUUUUAUUAUUUUUUUUUUUUUACAGAAGUUGCAGGGAAGAAAUGUUCUGGUCCUGGAACUCAAAAGCUGAAUUUGAUUUCAGGGAUCUCACAUCUGCUAACAAAAUAAUCAGUCAUGUUAAUCCCAGAAUUUGGGAAUGGUUGACCUGAAAUCCCUUGUUCCUUUGGAGUUUUUUGAUGAAAUGGCUGAGAUUAUCAGAAUAGCCUAAGGAAUUGGGAUGUCCAUACUCCUUUAGGUCAAAAACGCUCUUUAGGGACAGCAGCUUCUAUCCAUUAUGAAAACAGCAGGUACUACUGUUGGACAAAAAUACUUUCUUCUCCUUAGAUGAUUCCCUUAUUUUGUGCAACACAAGACUGAGAAUUCCACUGGGCAGUUCUGCAGCAGCAGGGAUUCCCAGGCAGGCCAGAUACCAGUCAUACACUAAACCAGAGUUUUCUACCAAAAUUAAGUUGCUUCUUUGGUCCUUUUUGUGUAAGUUUUCCUAAAUACUUCUGAAUUUCUAGGAAAGUUGUCUUUUGCCAGUACUAAUGACUUGUUUUUAAAGAUGCUUAACCAAAAUUUUAUAAAUUCCAUAAAUUUUGGCUGACUAGACCCCUUAAAUAGUUUAUAUAUCACACAGCCUCUGUCUGGGUUACUAGUAGAUCUUGGAUCAUUGUGGAAAUUAUGGGAUGGCUUUUGUUCCCUAAGGAUAGAUGAAGGAAUCACUUACUGAACUUAAGUUGAAUGAAGAAAAGAUUUAAGGGGCAGAUCUUCAGCUCAAAUAAACUGGCAGGGUUCAGUAGAAGCUACUUGAUG
ensembl:lncRNA